rnacentral:rRNA from 1 species
CAAUAGCGUAUAUUAAAGUUGUUGCAGUUAAAAAGCUCGUAGUUGGAUUUCUGAAUUGAAUGUCCGGUCCGCUUAUCUCAGAUGAGUGUGUACUUUAGAUAUUUGGUUCAUUUUUUGUGAGGAUAUUUAUCUGUCAUUAAGUUGAUGGAUUUAUAGACUUGCAUCAUUUACUGUGAAAAAAUUAGAGUGUUUAAAGCAGGCGUUUGCCCAUUUGAAUACAUUAGCAUGGAAUAAUAAGAUAGGACUUUGGUGGUUCUUUUAUUAGAUAUUUUGUUGGUUUGCACGCCAAGGUAAUGAUUAAUAGGAGCAGUUGGGGGUAUUCGUAUUCAAUUGUCAGAGGUGAAAUUCUUGGAUUUAUAGAAGACGAACUACUGCGAAAGCAUUUACCAAGGAUGUUUUCAUUAA